AACGUGAACUCUGGCUGACCCACGAACUGGACCUAGCCAAUCAGAAGCUCCUCGCCCCCUCCCCUUGCCUUUAAAUGUGCUUUCCGCUUGCCUUCCCCAUAUCAGAAGCUUCCUCAAGGACGCCGUUGUCAGUUAACGGAGUGGUUUUGAGUUCGCCUGAUCUGUUUGGUGACUGGGCUUCAUUCAAGUCUGUAUAAAAACUUUUAAGAUUCUGGCAAGCUGGUGCAGAGAUCUAUUCGUCUUGCAGCUGCCCAAGACAAGCCUUAUAAGCUCCUGAGUUGCUCACUGUGACCUGAAGGAUGCAUAGGAACUUUUCAGGUGAAAAAGGAGAAAGAAAAUUUCAGACCACAGGAAAAGCAAGUAGGAGCUGAACCUACCCGAGGAAGUGAUAGAGUUCCACCUCCAUCUUUGCCACUGAAUGGAAGAAAGGGAGUGGAGGUGGUGUCCUGGAUCUCAAAUGGGUGGGCCAGGAAACCACAAAUACUGCUUCUGGCCAGAGUAGUCACAUGAUCCUUCUUAACUGCAAGUAGCCUGGGAAUGUAGCCUUCCUGUGAACCCAGGAAAGAAGGCAAGAAAGGAUGUGGAUACCACCAAUUCAUACUGCAGAGCCAUUUUCAGAGGACUUUGGAUAUUUUAAGAAGAACCAUUGAAGAUUAGGGACCUCCUGGGAAACCUAUUAUUUCCCAGGUAUGGGACCCAGAAGAGGACCACAGAAGAUGAAAAUGCCAGGGCAAUGAUGGUAGAUGAGACAGGCCAAGAGAGAAAUGAGACACUUCUGACUAGUAUUUUACUAAUUACCUGUUUAGAUGGAAUAUAGAUCAUGAUAAGAAACACAGUGUAGGGGAACCUGGGUGACUCAGUUGGUUAAGCAUCCUACUUUGGCUCACUCAGGUCAUGAUCUUGCAGUUACUGAGUUCAAGGCCCACAUCAGGGUCUCUGCUGUCAGUGCAGAGCCCACUU